GUCCACGCUGUAAACGAUGUGCACUAGGCGUGGGGCCCGUACGGGUUCUGUGCCGUAGUUAACGUGAUAAGUGCACCGCCUGGGGAGUAUGCUCGCAAGGGUGAAACUCAAAGGAAUUGACGGGGGCCCGCACAAGCGGUGGAGCAUGUGGUUUAAUUCGAUGGUACACGAGGAACCUUACCAGGGCUUGACAUGUGCGUGAAUGUUCACGAGAGUGGGCAGCCCCGCAAGGGGCGCUCACACAGGUGCUGCAUGGCUGUCGU
rnacentral:rRNA from 1 species